rnacentral:snoRNA from 1 species
AGCCCAUGAUUAGGACAUCUCCUGAAUAAGGCUUUGUAUCUCUCCCAAGCAUCAUUCAAGCUCUCGCCUUCACGCUGAACAAAAUUGAGGAUCUCAUCUCGAAU